rnacentral:rRNA from 1 species
UGGGGAAUAUUGCACAAUGGGGGAAACCCUGAUGCAGCGACGCCGCGUGAACGAAGAAGGUACUCGUAUCGUAAAGUUCUGUCCUAUGGGAAGAUAAUGACAGUACCAUAGAAGAAAGCUCCGGCUAAAUACGUGCCAGCAGCCGCGGUAAUACGUAUGGAGCGAGCGUUGUCCGGAAUUAUUGGGCGUAAAGGGUACGCAGGCGGUUUAAUAAGUCGAAUGUUAAAGAUCGGGGCUCAACCCCGUAAAGCAUUGGAAACUGAUAAACUUGAGUAGUGGAGAGGAAAGUGGAAUUCCUAGUGUAGUGGUGAAAUACGUAGAUAUUAGGAGGAAUACCAGUAGCGAAGGCGACUUUCUGGACACAAACUGACGCUGAGGUACGAAAGCGUGGGGAGCAAACAGG